rnacentral:rRNA from 1 species
CAGGUUGACCUCGGAUCAGGUA